ensembl:lncRNA
AAGCAAAGAGGGACAGAAAUCUUGUAAAUGAACGUAAUAUAAAGACCUUACUCUAGUCCUUGAUACAGACUGGGGAUGUGACCCGCUGUACCAUAUGUAUAGACCCGAGUGCAAAGAUUUUGAAAUGAUUUCUUUUGUAUAUUAUAUGUUGAAAUUUUCCAGAUCUUUUAGCCGAGUCCAUAUGUUCCUCGUGUCCUCCUACUCUUAUUUUAUUUCUAGUUUAAAAGUUUGGAAAUUUGAACUGAAGAACAAGACACCAGUCUGAGCUAUUUGACUAGAAACAAGCCACCACCAAUGUCAACCCUACAAAGCUCUUUCAAACCAGAAGUGAAGUCAAUUGUAGAUAUUUAUGUAAAAAGAUUGCUUCAUGGAUUAAUGGUUCAUAUAUGCAAAAAGGGAAAAAAAUACAAAAAAGUCCCAACCCUGAGGAAUAUGUACACUGGAACCGUAGUGGUAGCUUUCAGUAUUGUAAAGAGAUUGUUAUAUACAAACCUUUUUGCUGUUUAUCCUGUAUGUAAUAAAGUCCUUUCUAGAUCCUAUGUGAACAGAAAAGUGAAGCGGCUCUCAAUCUUCAGCAUGUUUCCUCCUCAGCGAAGACUUGUGUAAUGUAAAUUGUGCCAUGUUAUUAAAAAAUGUGAACUAAACUGCUAGGUGCUUCUUUGUGUGCAGUACCCCAUCGUUGCUGUGGGGAGAAGUCCUUUUUCCCACCAGUGGGGUUUUGUUCAGAAGGAGGAGCUGUUAAAAAUGUGAAGGAAAUGUGAAGUUUUCAUAAACCAUCUUCCUGAAAAUUACCAGAGCGAUCAGGGAGAAAGAAACUGAAAGGAGAGCAGAUCCUUGGCUUGUCCAGAUUCUUUAAAAUACAGUAACACCCUACUUGGAUUAGAUUUUAAUUUAAUCUUGGUCUGCUGGAUGCACACCAUUAAAAAGCUGAGUUAGUGGAGGAAGGCAGGUCUGGAUGGCCACAGAAGGACGUGAGAGAGGCAGAGUCUGACUGAGAGCAUCAUCUUCCAGCUCAUCUGAUCCUUGUUGGAGGAGCCUGACAGCUCUGGCAGCAUCUUCAGGGGGAGGAAACGUGGUCUUGAUUGUCCAGACUAUGAUCCUUGUCCUCCCAGGUGCUGAGCAAACUCUUCUUGAUGGUCCUUAAUUCCCAAUUAAGCCAAUGAGCCCUCACUCCCAGAGCCCCAGAAAGCAUCGAGGCAUUUCAGUCCCUUUGACUUCAAUCCAAUUUAGUGCUCCUCGCCUUUGAAGAUCCACGUGUCGAGUCUUGUGCUGGUGAUGCUCAGAGGAAUAUGCCUGAAAGGUGUAGGAAGAGAUGAAACAAGAUUUUUAAUGCUUUUAAACUUCUUCAGGUGCAUUCAGUGCUUUUCAGGAGUUUGAUACAGGGAUUUUAGCUUGCAGGUAUAGACAAUUUGGAGUUUCUUGAAGGGUUUUACAUUCAGGACAUUUGUCUUAAAUCUUCUAUUUCUGAUUUCACUUGUAUUUAAGAAAUUAAUGUCUGCUAAAGAGCAUGCCAGAUACCAUCUGUGGGAAUGAAAUGAGUCAUGAGGGUAUUCAUUCUGUAGCUGGUGUGAAAUUCUGAUCAUAGAAAACCCUCAGUGUGCUUACA